rnacentral:rRNA from 1 species
GAGGACAAGUGCGGGAGCUAUACAUGCAAGUCGAGCGAACGGACGAGAAGCUUGCUUCUCUGAUGUUAGCGGCGGACGGGUGAGUAACACGUGGAUAACCUACCUAUAAGACUGGGAUAACUUCGGGAAACCGGAGCUAAUACCGGAUAAUAUUUUGAACCGCAUGGUUCAAAAGUGAAAGACGGUCUUGCUGUCACUUAUAGAUGGAUCCGCGCUGCAUUAGCUAGUUGGUAAGGUAACGGCUUACCAAGGCAACGAUGCAUAGCCGACCUGAGAGGGUGAUCGGCCACACUGGAACUGAGACACGGUCCAGACUCCUACGGGAGGCAGCAGUAGGGAAUCUUCCGCAAUGGGCGAAAGCCUGACGGAGCAACGCCGCGUGAGUGAUGAAGGUCUUCGGAUCGUAAAACUCUGUUAUUAGGGAAGAACAUAUGUGUAAGUAACUGUGCACAUCUUGACGGUACCUAAUCAGAAAGCCACGGCUAACUACGUGCCAGCAGCCGCGGUAAUACGUAGGUGGCAAGCGUUAUCCGGAAUUAUUGGGCGUAAAGCGCGCGUAGGCGGUUUUUUAAGUCUGAUGUGAAAGCCCACGGCUCAACCGUGGAGGGUCAUUGGAAACUGGAAAACUUGAGUGCAGAAGAGGAAAGUGGAAUUCCAUGUGUAGCGGUGAAAUGCGCAGAGAUAUGGAGGAACACCAGUGGCGAAGGCGACUUUCUGGUCUGUAACUGACGCUGAUGUGCGAAAGCGUGGGGAUCAAACAGGAUUAGAUACCCUGGUAGUCCACGCCGUAAACGAUGAGUGCUAAGUGUUAGGGGGUUUCCGCCCCUUAGUGCUGCAGCUAACGCAUUAAGCACUCCGCCUGGGGAGUACGACCGCAAGGUUGAAACUCAAAGGAAAUUGACGGGGACCCGCACAAGCGGUGGAGCAUGUGGUUUAAUUCGAAGCAACGCGAAGAACCUUACCAAAUCUUGACAUCCUUUGACAACUCUAGAGAUAGAGCCUUCCCCUUCGGGGGACAAAAGUGACAGGGGUUGCAUGGUUGUCGUCAGCUCGGUGUCGUGAGAUGUGGGGUUAGUUCCCGCAAACGAGCGCAACCCUUAGCUAAGUUGCCAAUCAUUAAGUUGGGCACCUCUAAGUUGACUGCCGGGUUGACAACGAAGAAGGUGGGGAUGACGUCCAAAUCAUUCAUGAUCCCUUAUAUGAAUUGGCUAC